rnacentral:snoRNA from 3 species
AUUCUUUUGUGAUUCGUAAGCAUGAUUGGGUGUUCACACUCGCGGGUGAGAUGUGCCUCCUUCCAACCUUGUUACAACGUUAGCACAUUACCUGUCUGACA